CCUACGGGUGACAGCAGUGGGGAAUAUUGGGCAAUGGAGGCAACUCUGACCCAGCAACGCCGCGUGAAUGAUGAAGGUCUUCGGAUUGUAAGGUUCUGUGUUGGGGGAUGAACACAAUGACGGUACCCCAAUAGCAAGCCUCGGCUAAAUACGUGCCAGCAGCCGCGGUAAUACGUAGGUGGCAAGCGUUAUCCGGAUUGACUGGGGGUAAAGGGUGCGUGGGUGGUUUGGUAAGUUGGCGGUGUAAUUCCGGGGCUCAACCCCGGCGCUACCGCGAAAACUAUUAGACUAGAGUGCAGGAGGGGUAAGUGGAAUGCCUAGUGUAGCGGUGGAAUGCGUAGAUAUUAGGAGGAACAUCAGGGGCGAAGGCGACUUACUGGACUGUAACUGACACUGAGGCACGAAAGCGUGGGGAGCAAACAGGAUUAGAUACCCGGGUAGUC
rnacentral:rRNA from 1 species